AAAGAUAAAACCGGAGACAAGGACCAUUUAUAAAAUUGCAAAAGGAAUACAACUUUAUUUGAUUGUUUUAUUGUCUAUUGACAGCAUCAUACAAUGUGUGCGAUCAUCAGAGGAGCCGUCCUGCUUCAUCUUCUCUGUUUCUGGACACACAGCAGUGUGGAUGCCAUAGAUCCUAGAGUGAUGGCAAGCAUCAUACGUGAUAUCAGAGCUGUGACCAACAGGAAUAAUCAGUAUUCAUUCGCUGUUGUUUUACCACGAGAAGAAUGCAACCAUCAGGGGACACACAGCUUUGGUGACAGUACUCAACAAAUUCGUCGAGGACUCAGAAGCAUCAGUCGUAUAUAUGAGGGUAACAGAGUAAUCGCUGCCAGGCCUAUGUUUAAUGAUAAUCUACUCACUGACCACGCUGAGUAUCGCUUACUAACCGAUCAACAGGGACCCAGUCUCGUGAGUGAAUUAUUAAACAGAUGGCAAGCAGAGCCAUCCUGUACUGUUUUCUUCACUCUGAACUCACCGUGUGGAGCAAAAUGUGCCAACCCAGGCCAUCAUUAUAACAUUUUGCAAUAUCUACAUAUUUUUGACAAUCUAAAUCCCAACUGGGUCGCCUUUGUGUUUCAGGACAUUUUCCAUUAUGAACAAACUCAUAUGACCAGGGCACGAAUGUUGUCAUUGCUUCGACGUAUCCAUGUGUAUGGGGGAAAUAUCCCUGUGUUUCGUUGUCGACGUGGAAGGAGUGUUUGUAUUGAUUGUAUGGCUAAUCGAAACCCAGAGACCAACCAAUGUCUUCAAGGAAUGCCACAUUAGUAACAUACAGCAUUACUUCAAGAAUUGGUUGAAGAUCUGUGGCUUCUUGCUAUAUAAUCUCACCGUCUUAAAAUAAUAUCCACUCUCAUUGUACCAGCAAUGCCAGACAGUUCUAUUUUAUCACUUCAUUGAACUGAGACAUCAACAAUAAAACAGCAGCAUAA